UGGAGAAGCAGGGCACGUGCAUUACCAUCCAAUGCCGCCAAGCUCGAUCCUCCUCUGAGCUUGCUAGCUCCAUCAGCUCGCCAGCCAUGGCUGGAUGGAUGGUUCUUCAUGUGCCCAUCUUCUCCA
rnacentral:pre_miRNA from 1 species